rnacentral:rRNA from 1 species
CCUCGGGAGGCAGCAGCGAGGAAUAUUGGUCAAUGGGCGCAAGCCUGAACCAGCCAUGCCGCGUGCAGGAUGAAGCAUCUAUGGUGUGUAAACUGCUUUUGUACGGGAAGAAACACUGCUUCGUGAAGCAGCUUGACGGUACCGUAAGAAUAAGGACCGGCUAACUCCGUGCCAGCAGCCGCGGUAAUACGGAGGGUCCGAGCGUUAUCCGGAAUCAUUGGGUUUAAAGGGUCCGUAGGCGGCCCGGUAAGUCAGUGGUGAAUCUCCCCGCUCAACGGGGAAACGGCCAUUGAUACUGCCGGGCUUGAAUAACCAGGAAGUAACUAGAAUAUGUAGUGUAGCGGUGAAAUGCUUAGAUAUUACAUGGAAUACCAAUUGCGAAGGCAGGUUACUACUGGUUCAUUGACGCUGAUGGACGAAAGCGUGGGUAGCGAACAGGAUUAGAUACCCUGGUAGUCCACGCCGUAAACGAUGGAUACUAGCUGUUGGGAGCAAUUUCAGUGGCUAAGCGAAAGUGAUAAGUAUCCCACCUGGGGAGUACGGGGCGCGAAGCCUGAAACUUCAAAUUGAAAUUGACGG